UACGGAGGGUGCAAGCGUUAAUCGGAAUUACUGGGCGUAAAGCGCACGCAGGUGGCUGAGUCAGUCGAUUGUGAAAGCCCUGGGCUUAACCUGGGAAUUGCAGUCGAUACUACUCAGCUAGAGUAUGGGAGAGGGCAGUGGAAUUCCCGGUGUAGCGGUGAAAUGCGUAGAUAUCGGGAGGAACAUCAGUGGCGAAGGCGGCUGCCUGGCCCAAUACUGACACUCAGGAGCGAAAGCGUGGGGAGCGAACAGG
rnacentral:rRNA from 1 species